rnacentral:rRNA from 1 species
AUUCAGCGGGUCGUCUCGUCUGAUCUGAGGUCG